rnacentral:rRNA from 1 species
UGGGCAACCUGCCCCUCUCUCUGGGAUAACCCCGGGAAACCGGAGCUAAUACCGGAUACUCCGGCUGGAUCGCAUGGUCCGGCCGGGAAAGGUCCGCCGGAGAGGGAUGGGCCCGCGGCCUAUCAGCUUGUUGGUGGGGUCAUGGCUCACCAAGGCGACGACGGGUANCUGGUCUGAGAGGACACCAGCCACACUGGAACUGAGAUACGGUCCAGACCUCCGUACGGGAGCA